UAUUAUGUCUUCAAUAAUUUAAUUAUAGCCAAUCAACGUGGAUGACAUCAAAUACAUUGAACAUUCUGUUAGCCUUGGAUUAAGCGUAACAUUAUAUCGAAUGCUGCCUGUAGUCAUGAAGAAAUGAAAGACGCUAUUAUGCACACACACAAAAAUAUUCAUUUCCAUGGGCUACAUACAACUUUAAGUAACUGUUCAAUAGUUUUAAGACUUAGAAAAAAAAAAAGCAGCUUACAAUUUGAGUUUAUUUGACAAGAAUGUAUCAAGUAAAAUGAAUAUAAACAAUACAACAAAAUGAGAGUUGUGUUUGCGUGAGCCUCUCUACUCUUGUGGACUACACAAGGGGCCGAGAUUCAAACACAGAUAAAUAUAUUACAUUGAUGAAACAGAAUAGUGCAGCCUGAGAAAUGAGCUAAAAAAAAACAACAAAAAUUGUGUUUCUCUCAGAGAUGAACUAUCAAAACAAAAAUUGUGUAACAGGAAUCCUUAGGCACACAAUGAUUGCCAUGCUGAUACAGCAUACAUUGGUCAUGUGAUCAACAAUUUACAACUAUAGACAACAAAACAAGAACAUAUAUAUUUUUUUUUUUUUUUUA